GCGUAGGUGGCAGAGUGGUUAAAUGCACAAGUCUGUAAAACUUGCGGCCUGACGGCCUACGCAGGUUCAAAUCCUGCCCUACGCA
rnacentral:tRNA from 1 species